UACGGGGGGGGCAAGCGUUGUUCGGAAUUACUGGGCGUAAAGGGCUCGUAGGCGGCCAACUAAGUCAGACGUGAAAUCCCUCGGCUUAACCGGGGAACUGCGUCUGAUACUGGUUGGCUUGAAUCCGGGAGAGGGAUGUGGAAUUCCAGGUGUAGCGGUGAAAUGCGUAGAUAUCUGGAGGAACACCGGUGGCGAAGGCGGCAUCCUGGACCAACACUGACGCUGAGUGAGCGAAAGCCAGGGGAGCAAACGGG
rnacentral:rRNA from 1 species